rnacentral:rRNA from 6 species
CAUAUGCUUGUCUCAAAGAUUAAGCCAUGCAUGUCUCAGUACAAGCCACAUUAAGGUGAAACCGCGAAAGGCUCAUUAAAUCAGUUAUGGUUCCUUAGAUCGUACCCACAUUUACUUGGAUAACUGUGGUAAUUCUAGAGCUAAUACAUGCAAACAGAGUUCCGACCGGAGACGGGAGGAAUGCUUUUAUUAGAUCAAAACCAAUCGGCGGCGGGCCUCGGUCCGUUCGCCGCUCAAUUUGGUGACUCUGAAUAACUUUCGGCUGAUCGCACGGUCUCGCACCGGCGACGCAUCUUUCAAAUGUCUGCCUUAUCAACUGUCGAUGGUAGGUUCUGCGCCUACCAUGGUCGUAACGGGUAACGGGGAAUCAGGGUUCGAUUCCGGAGAGGGAGCCUGAGAAACGGCUACCACAUCCAAGGAAGGCAGCAGGCGCGCAAAUUACCCACUCCCGGCACGGGGAGGUAGUGACGAAAAAUAACGAUACGGGACUCAUCCGAGGCCCCGUAAUCGGAAUGAGUACACUUUAAAUCCUUUAACGAGGAUCAAUUGGAGGGCAAGUCUGGUGCCAGCAGCCGCGGUAAUUCCAGCUCCAAU